rnacentral:tRNA from 1 species
GGAGGGUAUAGCUCAGUGGUAAAGCACGUGCUUAGCAUGCACGAGGUCCUGGGUUCAAUCCCCAGUACCUCCA